rnacentral:lncRNA from 1 species
AGUGAGGUGUCAAAACCAAACAAGCAAAUAAAAUAUAUGCCAAAAACAGCGAAGGAAAUCUGGGAGCUAGCAGUGAGUGAAACGACCCAUCACCAUCGCCUUGCUCGGCCUUAUAACUAAUUAAUUGCUUCCAUCAAAUACAACUUGAAAAACAACGAAUACCUAUCUGUUAAUCACUUUUUAACCCAUAAAUGCAUUGUUAAUGGUAACUUCAUGUGUGAAGUUUUUUUAAGUCAAUUUAUAUCUUUCCUGAAAAGCGGCAACUAUUGGGAGUAGGGACUAAUAAUCUAUGUGAAUUACAAUGGGAAGGCUUAGAAACCAGGUAGCAGAAACAAAGGGCGGACUAUGGGUUAGAAGUUGUUACGAAUAAUAAUUGUUGUUUGCUUUCAUAACAUCCUAAUCAAACCAUCACUAGCACAUUUUCAGCCUAAUUAAUUAUAUUUAUUUACAUUUGUUUGUUACUUUCUUUUAACAAACGAUAUUAUAAUCUACAUUAAGAAAAUGAGGAAUAGGCUAAGCCUCACAAUGAGCUAACAAUAAUAUGGUUCAAAUUUGUCUCUUUGCGAGAAUUGAACUUAAGAUCUCUCACUUACAAGUGAAGAAAAAUAUAACACUUACAAGUAAAGAGAAAUAUAACUAGACCGUAAUAUUGAGUGAUAUUUGAUACUUUUAUGUUAUAGCUUCAACAGUGCAUUGCAAAGUUUGAAUAGCAAACGUCGAGUCACCGCCGUCCAAAUGGCAAGG